CUCCAAAGACCACUACAACACUCAAAAGAAAUAACCCUCUUUUAAUAUUCCCACCUUACUACAAUAUAGCUCACUCUCUAUUUUCCUCACAGACUAUUUUCUUAUACCCUGUCUGUGAAACCUUACUCUUUUUCACUCUUUCUGUUGGUCUAUCAAAUUGAGAGCCGAAUGUCUCAUUUUAUAGGCAAAGAUUAGGAAAGAGCAGCACAACCUUUAUGACAAUUCAGCACACGAAAACUGAAAAACAAUAGAAAACAUGGGCUGCUGCUUUAGCAGCCAUUAUUAAAAAACAAGGAAUAAGUUUUCUUCGUUAAUAAGUGGGCUGGACCCACAACCCUCCACUCUUAUGUUUUUUAUAACCAAC
rnacentral:lncRNA from 1 species